CCAGCACCCGCGGUAAUUCCGGCUCCAAUAGCGUAUAUUAAAGUUGUUGCAGUUAAAAAGCUCGUAGUCGGAUUUUGGCAUCACGCCGUACUGUCUGCCGAUUGGUAUGCACGGUUUGGCGGGUGCUUCCUUCCGGAGGCUCGUUCCCUCCUUAACUGAAGGGUUCGUUGGUUCCGGUUCUUUUACUUUGAGAAAAUUAGAGUGUUCAAAGCAGGCCUAUGCUCUGAAUAGGUUAGCAUGGAAUAAUAGAAUAGGACUUGGGUUCUAUUUUGUUGGUCAAUGGAUCCUAAGUAAUGAUUAAUAGGGACAGUUGGGGCCGUUUAUAUUUCGUUGUCAGAGGUGAAAUUCUUGGAUUUACGAAAGAUAAACUUCUGCGAAAGCAUUCGGCAAGGAUGUUUUCAUUGAUCAAG
rnacentral:rRNA from 1 species